rnacentral:rRNA from 1 species
AGAGUUUGAUCCUGGCUCAGAUUGAACGCUGGCGGCAUGCCUAACACAUGCAAGUCGAACGGCAGCACGGACUUCGGUCUGGUGGCGAGUGGCGAACGGGUGAGUAAUAUAUCGGAACAUACCCUAGAGUGGGGGAUAACGUAGCGAAAGUUACGCUAAUACCGCAUACGAACUAAGGUUGAAAGUGGGGGAUCGCAAGACCUCAUGCUCAUGGAGUGGCCGAUAUCUGAUUAGCUAGUUGGUGAGGUAAAGGCUCACCAAGGCGACGAUCAGUAGCUGGUUUGAGAGAACGACCAGCCACACUGGAACUGAGACACGGUCCAGACUCCUACGGGAGGCAGCAGUGGGGAAUUUUGGACAAUGGGCGCAAGCCUGAUCCAGCAAUGCCGCGUGAGUGAAGAAGGCCUUCGGGUUGUAAAGCUCUUUUGUCAGGGAAGAAACGGUGAGUCCUAAUACGGCUUGCUAAUGACGGUACCUGAAGAAUAAGCACCGGCUAACUACGUGCCAGCAGCCGCGGUAAUA